rnacentral:rRNA from 1 species
UACGUAGGGUGCGAGCGUUAAUCGGAAUUACUGGGCGUAAAGCGUGCGCAGGCGGCGCGUUAAGACAGGUGUGAAAGCCCCGAGCUUAACUUGGGAAUUGCGCUUGUGACUGGCGUGCUGGAGUGUGGCAGAGGGAGGUGGAAUUCCACGUGUAGCAGUGAAAUGCGUAGAGAUGUGGAGGAACACCGAUGGCGAAGGCAGCCCCCUGGGAUAACCACUGACGCUCAUGCACGAAAGCGUGGGGAGCAAACAGG